rnacentral:RNase_P_RNA from 1 species
CCAGACGGCCGGACGGCCGCUGACCGCCGGGCUCGUCCCGGUGGUUGGAGGAAAGUCCGGGCUCCAUGGGAAGACGGUGCCGGCUAACGGCCGGCGGGGGCGACCCCAGGGACAGUGCCACAGAAAGCAAACCGCCCGCGCAAGGAGAAAACCUCCCCGCGGGCAAGGGUGAAAGGGUGCGGCAAGAGCGCACCGCGCCCCCGGCGACGGGGGCGGCACGGUAAACCCCACCGGGAGCAAGACCGAAUAGGGGCGGCCGGCUGACCCGCCAAAAGCGGGGGACGCAAGGGUUUCCCGCCCUGCCGCCCGGGUUGGUCGCGCGAGGCGCGCCGUGAGGCGCGUCCCAGAGGAAUGGCCGUCGCGCACCCCGUGAGGGGCGCGCACAGAACCCGGCUUACAGGCCGUCUGGCGCC